rnacentral:rRNA from 1 species
AGUGAACGCUGGCGGUAGGCCUAACACAUGCAAGUCGAACGGCAGCACAGUAAGAGCUUGCUCUUACGGGUGGCGAGUGGCGGACGGGUGAGGAAUACAUCGGAAGCUACUUUUUCGUGGGGGAUAACGUAGGGAAACUUACGCUAAUACCGCAGACGACCUACGGGUGAAAUCAGGGGAGCUUCGGACCUUGCGCGAUUGAAUGAGCCGAUGUCGGCUUAGCUAGUUGGCGGGGUAAAGGCCCACCAAGGCCACGAUCCGUAGCUGGUCUGAGAGGAUGAUCAGCCACACUGGAACUGAGACACGGUCCAGACUCCUACGGGAGGCAGCAGUGGGGAAUAUUGGACAAUGGACGCAAGCCUGAUCCAGCAAUACCGCGUGAGUGAAGAAGGCCUUCGGGUUGUAAAGCCCUUUUGUUAGGAAAGAAAAGCAGCAGGUUAAUACCCCGCUGUUCUGACGGUACCCAAAGAAUAAGCACCGGCUAACUUCGUG